AGUGCAGUGAAACCUAUUUUGUCCUCGCUAAGAGAAAUAUUUGUCAACACUGAUACACACAUUGUAUCUCUGUAUUUAUCGAUGAAUACACACACGUAUAUACCAAAGUAUUCGUAAUACAUGACUUCUGAGUAGUUCCCACUGUCAUGGGUGUAAGUUUAUUUUGAACCGCGAUCCCGGAAGUGAGUCGUGUGAUUAGUGCUAGCUUGAUGCUAACGUAGCCUGGCUGUCAUGGAGUUGACAGUACUAGUCAGGCGAUGUUAAAAUGUAAUAAACGACAUUAUUCGAUAAUUCUGGACGGACGUUCAUCAUAUUCGCCGUGGUAUAAGUGUCGUGUCGUGACGAGGAGCAGGUAAUCUGUGAAUGCAGCUAGUGUGCAGCUGCAGGCGCCCCACCCAAUGGUCUCUCCCACCAUGAAGGCGGUCGUGGACGCCGUGUGGGCGGUAUGGAGCAUCGGGGCCUCCAUCUACGACUACAUCCACACCAGCGCCAUGGAGGAGCGCAUACACGCCCUGGAGAAGGUCAUCACCAUCCACCAGUGUGCCAUCGGGAUGCUCUCGGCGGCCAUCUUGAUGCUCUUCACUUACAUCUUCCUCAAGAAACUUUGAGGGUCGGACUGCACCGGUAAAGUAAACAAUAGUCAAUUUCUCCAGGUAACUCAAUAUGCUGCAGGGUUGUUUAAACAGUUAGCACACGGUCCAUUCAAAUUUAUUUAUUAAUUCCUUGCUGCUAUCGUUUCUUCCGGAAGACACACUGGGACACCAAACUUGCUGAUUGAUAUGUUUUAAAUUACUUAUCAGAUAGAUAAAUACAGAAAUCACAUGCAUGGUGGUGAAUAAUAACAAGACCACAACAUUAGGUACCACUAGUCAAACAAGAGUAUAGUAGAUAUAUUUUAAAACUAGAAAAUAUAUUUUGGAGCUAAUUGGUACCUCUGCCUUCAAUGCUCCGUUUUAAUUUGGAAUUAAACAAUGUUUAUUGUGGUGUUUACUAUGUACUUUUUUUUUUUUAACCUGCUACUUUGAGCAAAAUAUAACAACUGUACACCAAACUACAAGUACUUUAACUUUAACUUAACAUUAUUGAUUGCACUGUUAGUUGAAUACCUUUUCAAUAAAGUCAAUUCAAACUGAG